rnacentral:rRNA from 1 species
UACGGAGGGUGCAAGCGUUAUCCGGAUUCACUGGGUUUAAAGGGUGCGCAGGCGGGCUAUUAAGUCCGUGGUGAAAUCCCGGGGCUCAACCCCGGAACUGCCAUGGAUACUAUUAGUCUUGAAUUUUGUUGAGGUAGGCGGAAUAAGUCAUGUAGCGGUGAAAUGCAUAGAUAUGACUUAGAACACCAAUUGCGAAGGCAGCUUGCUAAACAAAUAUUGACGCUGAGGCACGAAAGCGUGGGGAUCAAACAGG